CGGGACUCAUCCGAGGCCCCGUAAUCGGAAUGAGUACACUUUAAAUCCUUUAACGAGGACCAAUUGGAGGGCAAGUCUGGUGCCAGCAGCCGCGGUAAUUCCAGCUCCAAUAGCGUAUAUUAAAGUUGUUGCGGUUAAAAAGCUCGUAGUUGAAUCUGUGUGUCACAGUGUCGGUUCACCGCUCGCGGUGUUUAACUGGCAUUAUGUGGUACGUCCUAUCGGUGGGCUUAGCUCCUUGCGGGCGGUCCAACUAAUAUCCCAUCGCGGUGCUCUUCACUGAGUGUCGAGGUGGGCCGAUACGUUUACUUUGAAAAAAUUAGAGUGCUUAAAGCAGGCUACCUUUGCCUGAAUACUGUGUGCAUGGAAUAAUGGAAUAGGACCUCGGUUCUAUUUUGUUGGUUUUCGGAACCCCGAGGUAAUGAUUAAUAGGGACAGAUGGGGGCAUUCGUAUUGCGACGUUAGAGGUGAAAUUCUUGGAUCGUCGCAAGACGGACAGAAGCGAAAGCAUUUGCCAAAAAUGUUUUCAUUAAUCAAGAACGAAAGUUAGAGGUUCGAAGGCGAUCAGAUACCGCCCUAGUUCUAACCAUAAACGAUGCCAGCCAGCGAUCCGCCGAAGUUCCUCCGAUGACUCGGCGGGCAGCUUCCGGGAAACCAAAGCUUUUGGGUUCCGGGGGAAGUAUGGUUGCAAAGCUGAAACUUAAAGGAAUUGACGGAAGGGCACCACCAGGA
rnacentral:rRNA from 3 species